UCAGCCUCUCUCAUCAUCUCGUCCUUCACCAGCGACUCGUCCUCGUUCUUCAACACUUUGAUGGCCACGUCAAUCUGCCCACUGACAGAGCAACACCAAAACAAAGCGUGGAGGAUAUGAGGACGCCCUUUUUGACACAGCCGAAGUUCCCUGAGCCCAGCUCCACCUCAUCCAUCACCAGUUGGUCUCUGUUGAUGAAGAACUUCUUCAGGUCCUUGGGGUUGUGGUACGCGUUGACGAAACCACUGCAGUCCAUGGGCAGCAGCUGGCUGCCCGCCAAGGGGGCCGGGAGGCUGGGCUUGAGGAACGAGGUGGCUGGUGGCACAAGUCAUGGUGGCCAUGGUGACUUAAAGCGGCCCUGGUAAGCUCACAGGACAUUCUCCCUUCAAUUUUACUUUAGUGUGUGUGUGUGUGUGUGUGUGUGUGUGUGUGUGUGUGUGUGUGUGUGUGUGUGUGUGUGUGUGUGUGUGUGUGUGUGUGUGUGUGUGUG